GGCGGCGUCUGUGUUCCUGUGGUUCACCUGACCUCCACCCACACACACACCUGCAGCUCAUCAGCAGCUGAUGAAGCUAAACAGGAUUUAAGGCCUUGCUGGAGUGCUGUUCCUCGCUGGAGCAUUAUGCUCACCUGUACCUCCGUGGACCUGCGCCUGUUUUCCCUGGACCCGACCUGAAAGAGUGUGAGUGAGUGUGGUCACGGUGUUGGAUUGGACUGCCCCGGACCUUCCCUUGGAACCUUGGACCCCUUUUUCCCUAUCAAUAUCACUGGUGUGUAAAUAAACCUCUGUUUGAGUGCA